CAAAGAUCUGCCCCUCUCUCUAAAAAAAACGGUCCUCACCCUUCAGACUCAGCUUUUUCGUCUUUCUCCCUCCUUUCUCGUUCUGUGUUUCGACGAACAACAACAAACAACACGACAUCCUCAAAUCUCUCUCGAUCUCAAUACUCUGCUCGCGUUUCUCUCUCGAUCGAUGGAGCUUUCGAAGCUCUCACAUCUCUCUCGGCUUCUCUUUUAAAUCUCGCUCACAUUUCACUCGGUUCCAAGAACAGAGCAAAAGUGCUCUCAACGCUUUCAUCGAUUCUCUGUUCAUCACUCUCGGUCUACUCACGGUCUCACAUUCGAUUGAAUCUCUCUCAGUCCUCUCGAUCACGCAAGCAAAACACAGAACCACACAAUCAAAACACACAAUAAACCUUAACCCCCAAAUUGAACCAAAGUCGACCUCGAUCUAGUAUUAUCAUUGCUUGUUUCGAAGAGCAGAAAAAGGAAAUCAACGAAAAAUUCGGAUUUUUUCCAUCAAUGAAGCCGACUCAACUCGGUUCUUAACUGAAAAUCUUCAUCGGUUCUUGCUUUUAUUCAAGGGGAGAAUAGAAAGCUAAUAAAGAGCAAGACAAUAUCAGUAACUUUAACAAAUCAACAGCACAACAUCACCUCAGCACCAUGGGAUUUCAGCUGAAAAAAGCUUUUCCCUUUUGUGCUUUUCAUUGGUGAAUCGGUUAAGUUCAAAUAUGGCAUCAGAUGGACACAAAAUACAUCGGCAGAAGCACAUAAAAGUGGCAAUCAGUUUGUGUAGGUUCUAUGCAACAUGAAACAAGGCCUUUGGGAGUAAGCAUGAAGGAUGUUUGAAGAAUGUUAAGGCAUGGAAAUUUCGAGGACUAAGAUUAAAUUAGCAUGAAUUCUCUUGUAAUCCCUUUGUUAUAACACUUCAAAAAAAAAUGAAACACUUUAAUAUCUUGUAACUAUGAAUUUUACUUGGUGACAUCUUUGAAUGCAACUUAAAAAUUUGAGUAA